AAGAUUGGCAGCUUGAAAACUGUUCUGCUUUCUACUCUGGAGGACCUGGGUUUGAGUCUUGUGUCCUACCUCUUGAAAAUAUUUAUCAUGGAAUCCAAGUCUGGCCUGUCGAUCCCCAUUCUCCACAAUCUGGCAGACCCCUCUGGAGAGGUGGGCAGCUUGUGGAAGGAUGAGAGAGAAGUAAUGAAAAUAUUUAUUAUGGAAUCCAAGUCUGGCUGUCGAUCCCCAUUCUCCACAAUCUGGCAGACCCCUCUGGAGAGGUGGGCAGCUUGUGGAAGGAUGAGAGAGAAGUAAUGAAAAGAAGCAAUACUCAUAAAUGGAAACCCUAAUCAAGGGGUAUAUGAGAGAAAAAUAUUGGGAACCACUAUG
rnacentral:lncRNA from 1 species